rnacentral:rRNA from 1 species
AUUGAACGCUGGCGGAAUGCUUCACACAUGCAAGUCGAACGGCAGCACGGACUUCGGUCUGGUGGCGAGUGGCGAACGGGUGAGUAAUAUAUCGGAACGUAUCCAAUAAUGGGGGAUAACUAAUCGAAAGGUUGGCUAAUACCGCAUACGUCCUACGGGAGAAAGCUAGGGACCUUCGGGCCUGGCGUUAAUGGAGCGGCCGAUAUCUGAUUAGCUAGUUGGUGAGGUAAAGGCUCACCAAGGCGACGAUCAGUAGCUGGUCUGAGAGGACGACCAGCCACACUGGAACUGAGACACGGUCCAGACUCCUACGGGAGGCAGCAGUGGGGAAUUUUGGACAAUGGGCGCAAGCCUGAUCCAGCCAUUCCGCGUGAGUGAAGAAGGCCUUCGGGUUGUAAAGCUCUUUCGCAAGGGAAGAAAACUUAGUUACUAAUAUUAACUGAGGUUGACGGUACCUUGAUAAGAAGCACCGGCUAACUACGUGCCAGCAGCCGCAGUAAGAC